rnacentral:rRNA from 1 species
AGGGAAACCGAGUCUUAACUGGGCGUUAAGUUGCAGGGUAUAGACCCGAAACCCGGUGAUCUAGCCAUGGGCAGGUUGAAGGUUGGGUAACACUAACUGGAGGACCGAACCGACUAAUGUUGAAAAAUUAGCGGAUGACUUGUGGCUGGGGGUGAAAGGCCAAUCAAACCGGGAGAUAGCUGGUUCUCCCCGAAAGCUAUUUAGGUAGCGCCUCGUGAACUCAUCUUCGGGGGUAGAGCACUGUUUCGGCUAGGGGGUCAUCCCGACUUACCAACCCGAUGCAAACUGCGAAUACCGAAGAAUGUUAUCACGGGAGACACACGGCGGGUGCUAACGUCCGUCGUGAAGAGGGAAACAACCCAGACCGCCAGCUAAGGUCCCAAAGUCACAGUUAAGUGGGAAACGAUGUGGGAAGGCUCAGACAGCCAGGAUGUUGGCUUAGAAGCAGCCAUCAUUUAAAGAAAGCGUAAUAGCUCACUGGUCGAGUCGGCCUGCGCGGAAGAUGUAACGGGGCUAAACUGUGCACCGAAGCUGCGGCAGCGACGCUUAUGCGUUGUUGGGUAGGGGAGCGUUCUGUAAGCCUGCGAAGGUGUCCUGUGAGGGAUGCUGGAGGUAUCAGAAGUGCGAAUGCUGACAUAAGUAACGAUAAUGCGGGUGAAAAGCCCGCUCGCCGGAAGACCAAGGGUUCCUGUCCAACGUUAAUCGGGGCAGGGUGAGUCGACCCCUAAGGCGAGGCCGAAAGGCGUAGUCGAUGGGAAACGGGUUAAUAUUCCCGUACUUGGUGUUACUGCGAAGGGGGGACGGAGAAGGCUAUGUUGGCCGGGCGACGGUUGUCCCGGUUUAAGCGUGUAGGCUGGUUUUCCAGGCAAAUCCGGAAAAUCAAGGCUGAGGCGUGAUGACGAGG